UUUUAACCCAUUAUUUUACUAGAAUAAUAACUAAGUGUUACAUUUUCUUAAAGAAAUAUGUGAUGCUCUCUGAGAAAAAUUGACCCCUUUGUUAUUGGUAUUUUUUUAAAGAUAAAAUAUGGAAACUUCGCAUUUUACAUACAAAUUUCGUAUUUCAUAGUUUUUAAAAGAGAAAUUUGAAUUUCAUUUACAAGUUCAUGUGCUCACUUUUUCGUGAUUUGUUUCCAUUUUAGUAACAUUUAAAUGAAAUUUUUAUUUUCAUAUCCUUGCAAAAUUUUCCUGUUAGAUAAAAAAGGAAACAUAGGUAAAGAGAGAAACUUUAGGCAAAUGAUUAUUGGACCUUUGUAGGUAUUCAAAAAGAUGAUAACUAGCUUGCUAGGUAUGAUGAUGAUUUCCGUCCAAAAUUAAAAUUUUUUUUCUUAUUGAAUCGUAAAAAUCUGAUAAAAAAGGUAAAAGUGGAUUCAAUUUUUUCUAAAGUGACGAACACACAGGCUCACCGUGUUUUUAAAAUGAGGAUAACACGAACGGAUGAAGUUGAAGAAUUACCUAAUUUUGUUCUGAAAUAAGGGAAAUACAGCUUUGAAAUUGUGAAAUUCUGUUUCAAAAUGGUGAAAACAUGGCCAUGUGAGGGUUCAAAGUGUCAUAUUUUGUUGCUUUAACAUUGUCAUAUAUUGAUCUAAUAACCAAUACAUGGCUACAAAGCUUACAAAUUGUUGAAGUUUGUAUAAAGCCUAGAAAUGGACAUAUUCCAUUUAAUAAGGACGAUUACACAAACUUACCUCAAUAACUUCGAAAUGGACCAUUUGUAAUUUUGAACUUUUGGCACUUGAAAGACUGAUAGUUGGUCCGCACUUUGCCAAAUAUUAUUGGAGAGAACAAAUUUAACAACCUGUGUGGUUCUGACAAUGAUUUGUCAGAUUUCAAAGGUUUUGAAGAAGAAACCUAAUUACCAGAAACUAACCAAAAUGUUAGUAAUGAUGACAGUGAAAGUAGACCUUUGACAUGCUAGAUCCACUGACAAGUCUGUCCCAGAAGGAUUAAUAAUGAACAAAUGCAAUCAUGGAGAUUUAGACAAAUUAAUUGAGGUACAAUUUACUGCCCCACCUGGGUUUUAAGUCAAAAUCCCAGAGGAUGUUGAUGAGCUUUAUUUCUUAAAACGUUUUUUUGCCUGAAGAGAUAAUUAGUUCAUUGACUUUAGAAGCCAAUGUUGCAUGCUUUUGACUUCCUUUAAGUAAAUAAAGGAAAACUUGUAAUCAUUCCAGAUUUUUAAAAUCGCCUGAAAAUGGAAUAACCAACAACAAAAUGAUAGCUUUCCUUGCUCUUGCAUACUAUAUGGGUAUUAUUAAAAAAGAUGUGAUAGCUUCAUAUCAGAGUAUUGAUAGUACUUUAUCAACACCCUUUUCUAGAACAAUUAUUGUCCAAAAAUGAAUUUAAGAACAGUGUUUCUUUUCUCCAUUGCUGUAAUAACAAUGAAUAUGUAACAAAAGGACAACCUGGAUACAAUUCAAUAAUAAUCUUGGCUGACGUACGAAAUAAUGGUACAAAAAUUCAGUGAUGUUUUGAUUCCACCUAAAUAACAUUUUGAUUGUUGUUGUUGUUAUAUUCCUAAAACAUGAGUUUAUAGAUGAAGCCUAUUCGAAAAAUGAUGAAUUAAGCGCUGUGGACCUGCAAAAAUUAAUGUUCAAAGAUUUCAAGUCAAAAUUAUCUAUAACGUCUUUGAAGUGUUACAGGAAGAAGCUACGUUGGAUCUAAAAUGGUCCAAGAUAUUGCCAGGUUGUUCGCCCAAUCAAUUGUGAAAUGCCACUUAACUUUGCCUUGGUAUGCAUUGUGACAAAAGAAGCUUUUGACAAUGUGAUAUUCACUGACAAAAGUAGCAUUUGGAUUUAGCGACAUUCCAGAUUAUGUUUCUGUCGAAGGCAUUCUUUUGCUAAGUUAAAGCGCAAGGUUAAGCACCCAUACAAAAUUUAUGUUUGGGCAGGUGUAUCCCAAAGAGGAGGAACAAAGUUGAUGAUCUUUACUGGUAUAAUGAGAAAGGAGUUUUAUGUUGAUUCUCUCAAAACAGGAUUCUUGCUGUUCGUUAAUUUCGUUUUUCCAAACCGAAAUGGAUUAUUGCAAGAGAACAGCCCUAAACUUAAAUCGAAGUAUGGAAUCAGUAUUAGCUAUUGGCCAACCACAUGGGAAUCCCCUGACAUUAACCCAAUUGAGUUGCUGUGGGUGAGCUUAAAAACUAUGUUCGAAAACACGUAAAGCCAUCCAAAAAAGGAAGAAUUAAUUAACAGGGUAAAAACAUUUUGGCACAAUGUAACAAAUACACUGAUCACAUAUAUAAAGUCCUUCCUAUCAUUGUACUACGCAAUGGGAGAGCUUCUGGACACUAACUUAUAAUAACUCUUUACUUUUUCAAUCGUGAUAUAUCACCUAAAAUUAAACUUCCUCACUAAUACAGAACUUUUUGUUUAACUACAUAACUAUUUUUGUAUAUACUUGUUGUCUACAAGGGAAUAUAAAAAGAUUUUAAAUUAAACGUUUUGUCACAAUAUUUUCAAAUUGACACUUAAAACGCUAUAAAAAAAGAAUGAUUUGAAGGUUUUAUUUCUUUCGAUAAAAAGUAUGCAGAAGGAUUAUUUUGUGUGGUUUGUUUAGAAGGGAAUGUUUUUAUAUCAAGAAAUAUAGAUAUUGUAUUUAUUCAGAAUAUACACCAUUUGUUUGACAAAAAUUAACCGUAGUGGUAUUCUUCAAUAAAUAAAAUGCGCAAGGCAUUUAAUAGUUGCGAACAAUGCUUCUCAUAUAUAUCUUAAAUUAAUUGUGCUUAAAUAAUCAAAUUAACAAUAGACUCUCGCACAAUGUAUUAUUGUACUUUUCGAAAGAUUUUUAUUAUCAUUUCAAAUAAUUAAAAGUCGGAAGAAAUUUAAUUACUUUGCGCUAAUACUCAAGGGAAUAGUUUAUCAAUACAAUUACACAAUGCAUCUUCCUAUUACAAGAAAUAUAAUUGCUCCGAUAUUUCUUCGCGAGCGCAUUGUUGUUUAAUACGCAAAUAUAAACUUGCAAAACCCAAAAGGGAUAUAAUUAACAAUAAAACAAAAGUCAAACGACUGCUGUCCCCCACGCAAAGGUGUGAUUUUAGCAUGUACGCAGUAGAUUACAUUCAGACUGUAGACUUAGAACAGACCUUCAGCUUCUGGCUUGGAACUUCAGCACCUUGCUGGAUGACAUUUUCCAACAAAAAUUGAAGGAGAAGCUAAAACUGUAUUAGUCCUUCUUGUAAAGUUUGUGUCCUACCAGAGAGGUAGAUGGAUGCUGCUGCUGAACGAAAGCAGAAACUUCCUGGCCACAAAACAUCCUAUAAAUGUGCUCAAUGUGAGGUGGCAUUAUGUGUAGUGCUUUGCUUUAGUUUGUAUCACACUCACAAACAAUAUUAGGAGGUUUAUAAAGCAUGGAAAAAAGUUCCAUAAUAACUUCAGGACAACAUUGAGAGAACAUUUUAAACUUUUUUUUGCAUGGUCGUGUAAAGCGUAGACUCUCUGUAUUGGAAAUCGCAUUAUUUGGUUGUAAAAUAGCCAUACAAAGCACAGAAAUACUUCUUUUUAAAAACUAAAGCCCUUGUAAAACUUAAAGGGAACAGAAGUAUAAAAUGAAGUUGAACUUUAGAGCUUAAAAGGUUGGUUAACAAGUCUUUAAAUGUGAAUGUCUUGAGAACGAAAAGAGCUUUAAAAAUUUAAAAAGGGUUGUUAACAACUUUUUAAGCUCUAUAAUAUAAGUACGACAUCAUUUUAUACCUUGGGUUCCCUUUAAGCAUUAAUGAUUUUAAGUUUAAAAAGUUAUUUUUACCUAGUUAACUUUGUAUUUUUUUUAAUAUAAAAUUUCGAAUUUUUGGAUAUAUGCUAUACACCACAUUAUAAUGAUGUUCAAAAUUUGUAAAAAGCCUUUUAAAGGUUAAACUUAAGGUUAAAAAGUUUCUUGUAAUAGUACAAUGAUAUUUAAGCUUUAUAAGAAAUCUUUCUGAUCAUUACUUCACGAAAUACUGCAAUGUUUAAACUUGAUAAAAAAGCUUUGUAAAUGUUUUAAAUUCCAAAAAAUUGAUGUUAAGAUUUUGUAAGAUAGCAUUGUAAUUGUUUGUUAAAAAAAUAGUGAUUUUUAAGCUACUAAAAAUAAUAAUGAUUCGCAAAUUGCUGAUUGCAGCCUACUACUUUAAAGCCUGUAUCAUCCUUAUCUUUGACAAAAAGCAAAAAGGUUUCAAGUAGGACUGAUUUCAGUUCUGAAAAUGUGACAAAGAUGUACAGGACAUGAGGUGAAAACAAAACUUGUUGAAAUAAGCUAAAAAAAAUUAAACAACGAAAACAUAAUAGAGUUUAGUGAAAAGGAAAAGGUUGUUCUCUGCUCUAUGUUCUCAGAGAUAUUUAAGGCGGAAAGUUGAGUUAACUGGCAUUUUGUCACAAGACGUUUUAAAGCAGCUGUGUUUCAUAAAGUCAGAAAAACCCUAAGGUUUCUGUCCAACACCUCGAAGUUAUCAAAGUCAAGUUAUAUCAAUUCAACUCUUAUUUUAACUCUAAAAAGGGGGAAAACGAACUCAAUGUUUUUAGCUUAAAAAAUUAAAUGGUUAGCUUAUUUUUGUAAUGAGACUCAAGGUAAUAAACAAUGUUUUUAAUCAGUUUUUUUGCAAUAUUUAUUAGUUUUUUUUAUCAUUUUUUUAUCGGUUUGUACUGAUUUCUGAUAAAAUGUAGCUACAUGCCUUACCAUAGCAAUAGCAAUCACAUGAAUGUUUCUUACCUGAGCAUUAAAUAACUUGCAUAAAACUUGAAAAAUAUUGAUGAUAUUUCCUCAAGGUACUUUCAGUAUUUUGUGCAACACACAAAGCUACAUCUAUUUUAAGCAGUGGAAGACGUUCAAAAAGUCAGCUCCUUAAACAGUGAACCCACAACACAGCACCACUACUACUGCUUUGUAAACAGCAAUAUGUCUGUCAGUUGGACUGAUAAUACAAGUUUUCUGCAACAAUUUUUUUAUAUAAUUGAUGUGCAGGAACUUUCUGUAUAAAAAACAACUCAAAUAUUAAGUUUUCAGAUAGUUUAAAAAUGCACUAAAACAUUUAAAUCAAGUUAGAUUAAAUAUUAUAAACCACACAAAAUCAAAACUUUUUAAAAACAUAAGAUGUACAUAAUAAAAACUAUAUGUCUGACUGAUCAGUGUCAAAGGAUGACCACUCAUCACUCAAUAUGUCAGCAACUUUGACUUUACAGUACCGCUUAAAUGUAACUUUACAUGUACGCGAGUUUUACGACGUAGUGUAACGAUCUCAUGUCUACAUAAAGAACCUUCGCAUAUCUUUUGUUUACACACGAACUUAAUAACUUUCUAUUGUUAUCGUCGUACGCGAGUCAUAACAAUAAGAUAUGAUGAAGCCUUUUGUUCUUACAUGUAACAUGCAUGCUUUUGUUUAAAAGUGUUAACAAUCACGAAAGCUAUUGAAAGAUAUAUAUUUUUAAAAAAAUGAAGGAACACGCGUAAAGCGUUAAAGAUUUCGUGUGUAAUGUAAAAUGUUUAUGCGAAGAAUUUAAAAUGAAAACUUUUUAUAAUAGCUUUGUACCUUGCGCAUUGCUGCUUGUUUUUUUUAUUUCUAUUUUAAGAACACUGUUUCGAUACACAUGUGCCUCGAUUUUUGUGCAUCCGGCUAAAAUAGUAGUUUCGAAUGCUAGUUUCGGUCGAUCAAAUUAAACUUAAAAUACUUGACGAAGAUUAAAAUAAAUGAAGUAAUUUGCCAUUUUUUUGAAUCCCAAGUUUUAUUAAUUUUUGUUGCGUUGUGUAUAGAGAUAAAGUCAAGAAUAAUUACAAGCAGUGUAGAAAAAAAAAAUUUCUUUGCACAUAUACAAGUUUGUUCAAAAAAAAACUUUAAAAAACACACGUACAAUUAUACAGAAUUAAAAUCUAUGUUACUUUCAUUGUGUUUUUUUUUGUUAAGGUAUUCAUUCAUGCUGUUUCUACCAUCGCACCGAAGACCUUUCUUACUGUCCUCAGUAACGGAAUAAAAAUUUUAACAGCGUAUUUUUUAUAUAUUCCACUUUGGUAGCAUUCAGUGGUUCUCUUGUAAGAACAUGCCCGUUUUUAAUGAUGCUCAUGCUGUACACACUACGACCCUGCCUUUCUGACAGCGGGAAAAUCCGACGAAUUAAUCGCUGAGCAAAUUUUUUUUCAGAAUGUGAUUGCUUUUUUGUUUGCUAAAAAGAUAUAAUUCUACUGGUAAAAUUUCAUAUAUCGGAAAACCAGGUAGAAAACCUAAGCUAUCGGUAGAACACUUUAAUUUUAUCGAAAAAUGCUACACGGGAGACGAUGAAUAUUUGGCAGUUGACAUGCAAAAAAAACUUAAAAACACCUUUAAUAUUGGUGUUUCUGCUCCCACUGUCAAAAAUUUUAGACGCAAAUUUAACACAUCGACUAUUUGUAUAAAGUUAUUCCAAUUGUUAUUGAAAGAGAAGGCGGAGCAUCUGGACAUUAAAAUAAUGUUUUUUUUGUUUAUGUUUUUAAUUCCCGUAGCCCAGUUGUAAUUCUGUCGAAACGCUAAUUUUUAAAAAUUGUUUAGUGUGCUAAACAAAAUACAACAUUUAGGUUUGUGUAAGCGCGCAAAACACAAGAUUCUUUCUAAGUAUCAUAAUAAAUCCAUGUAAAAACAAAAGAUAAUACGUUGCCGUUCAUGAGUAGAAACAAUAAAACCUUAAAGCUUUAUUACAUUUUAUAUUUGUUCUCCCGUUGAUCCCUUCACGGCUAUAGCAAUUAAAUACAACAAUGAGUUACGUGAAGUUUACAUGGGAUAAUUAAAGUUCGCAUGUGUGACAUAAACUCUAUUGUUUUCAACAUGCAAAAAUAGCUCAUGUAUUUAACAAUAGGUUAACAAUAACAACAAAAGUUCUAACGCUACCGAAGGUUCGUGUGAAGGUGAUAACUAUCGUGCACAUGUAAAGUUACAUUUAAGCGGUACUGUUGGUGCAACUAUUUCUUCUACAGCAUAAUGUUUCGUCACUGUUAAUGUUGUCCGUAAUAGGCACAAUCACUGGCAACUCAUAUCUUGUGUUUUCUCUUGUUGGGUGAGUACUCAUCUACCUUGUGACAAUUACGAGAAAACGACGCUGUAUUUCGUUCUAAAAUGACAAAGAAAAAAACAAAACAACCCUUCAAAGCUUAUCAAUCACUGAUUUCAUUAUAAAAUAAGAAAAAACGUCCUUCUAAGUUUGCUGUAUAUUGUUAUAAAAUAUAUAGAAAACAUCCUGUUAAGCUUAAAAAUCUCCCAAAUCAACAAAAUGCACAUCGAUGCAUUUUGUUCUUAGAUGACGAAAACAGCACUAUGAAGAUGAUAACCUGCUGUAUUUCGUUAUAAAGUUUAGUAAUGAGUCCAUAGAAAACUUAUAAAUCACUGUAUUUGGUUGUAAAAUAAACGUAAUAGCACAGAAGUCUCGUUCAGAAACACUAAACAUGUUUCUGUAAACGUUGAACAUUGAUGUACUGUUUUUAAAAUCAUCAGAACAAAGCCUAAAAAUAUCACUGUACUUCAAACAAAAACAUGUCUAUGAACUUAUUAGUUACACAGUUAAGUUGGUAUUUUAAAAAUAUGUGUAUUUUAAAUAUACAAAAUUCGUAUUUCGUAACUUUUAAAAAUACGAAAUCUGUAUUUUUAAAAUUACAGAAUUGUCUUUUUUUUUUGGAAAUACUGAAUUUACACACUUUCAAAAUAGAAGUGGUUUAUUUUCCUAAAGAGCAUAACAAAUUUCUCAAAGCAAACUGAAUUAUAAUCAACUAAAUUGCUUAAAACAUUCUUGCUUAAAACUUUAAAGAAGGAAAGACCUUCUGAUAAUCAUCACAGAUUUAUGAAACUAUAAAAUAUCAGUAUUUCUUCCUAACGCGAUGAAGACAUAGCUGUAAAAAAACCUGUAUUCCAUUAUAAAGUUACUCGUAGUAUGUUGCUAAUUGUUGGGUUUUGUUUUUAAACAAUAAUAACACGGCCUUAUAAAGCUUGAAAACCUCAGUGUUUUUUUUUCUAGUAUGAUGAAAGAAAUCAUCAUCGUCAGGUUAUGAAGUUAUAAAAAAUCUUCCUUGAAAUUAUGUUUAAUAAAUUUUUUCUUUUUCUUUUUCUUUAAAUUACCGCAACAACUUCUAUUUUCAAAACUUCAAAAAUGCACUCUUUCUGAGCACAUUUAUCAAACCAGCUGCUGAUCCCAAGAUUUUUCAUAGCAUCAGUAAUUUGAUUUUGAGUGUCUACCCAGUGUUUUUUAAUUUCACCAAGUUGAAGCAUUGUUAUUUUGUUAUUCUGUCAACCCCAAAAAUGUAACGAGGCACAUUAAAAAACAUAGAUGUGUGAAAAAAUCUACUAAUUGCUUUAGUAAUGUGAAAAGUAAA